CCUACGGGAGGCUGCAGUGGGGGAUAUUGUACAAUGGGGGAAACCCUGAUGCAGCGACGCCGCGUGGGUGAAGAAGUAUUUCGGUAUGUAAAGCCCUAUCAGCAGGGAAGAAAGAAGACGGUACCUGACUAAGAAGCCCCGGCUAACUACGUGCCAGCAGCCGCGGUAAUACGUAGGGGGCGAGCGUUAUCCGGAUUCACUGGGUGUAAAGGGAGCGUAGACGGCCGUGCAAGCCAGGAGUGAAAGCCCGGGGCCCAACCCCGGGACUGCUCUUGGAACUGUGCGGCUGGAGUGCGGGAGGGGCAGGCGGAAUUCCUGGUGUAGCGGUGAAAUGCGUAGAUAUCAGGAGGAACACCGGCGGCGAAGGCGGCCUGCUGGACCGCGACUGACGUUGAGGCUCGAAAGCGUGGGGAGCGAACAGGAUUAGAUACCCUUGUAGUC
rnacentral:rRNA from 1 species